ensembl:piRNA 21ur-6941 ncRNA
UUUACUAAAAUUCAUGCCAGU